AUGUCGAUUUGCAGGUUUACCAACAGGGAGGUUAAUAAUCAGGAUCUGUAUUAUACAAACAACCAUGUGAACUUAAAAGCAGAUAUUUUUCUCAGAGUCUUCAAAUACCAGUCCAGCCAAGCUGACAUCUUGAUUUUAACCUGCUUUAGUUCUUUCUCCCCAUUGUCAAAGUGCUUCUUGGCUGCCUGUGGGGUUGGCAUGAAAAGGAUUGAGCGUCAGAGUGGAUGUCUCUUUGCCCACUUUUUGGGUUGUGGUCUAGAAGCAUAUUGUGAUUUCUACAAGACACACGUUCCCAUUUGGAGCUUUAACAAAUUCAACCGUUUCAUGUUCUGUGUAAGUAAAUUUUAGGUUGCCCAUCAUUGAAAGCCAGUUUUUAAAAAAAUCACAGGAGUGGAUAAUCCAGAGAACAUUUUCUACUGUGUUUGUGAUUCCAGUGGUUGGAAAGUAAAAUUGUGGAGGAAGGGCUGGGAUAUCUCCAGGGGCUUACUUAGCAUCAUCAAAGCCUCUCCCGCUUCCCCCUUGCACGUUACCGUAUCUGCUUUACCAAUCAGAGGGAAAUUUAUCAUGUAGGAUUUAGAGGAGAUAUUUAUGGCCUCCGUAAGCACAAUGACUUUGACUGGUAAGACGUCAGUUAUUCCCUUUAGGAGAUAAAAGGCCACAGCUGGUGAGAUAAUAGAACAGGAACUGUUUCAGUAUUUCAAAACAGAAGACCCAGUUGAAGAAGGGAUUUUAUAUGGCAUUUGCUUUUAUUUUUUUCCUUCUAUGAUGAACAGGUGUGGGAGUCAAUUCGAGAAGGCUGCUUAGAUGAUUGUGGGACAAGGGAGGGAGGUAAAUAUUUUUGAUGGUUGGGGAAAGAUUCAGAUUUUCAAACUUUAAACCAAAUAUGUAGUCCAAGCCUUUUCUACCUGUGUACACAAAGGAAAGAGGAAGCUGGGUCAACAUAAAAUAGGCAGUUGUUGUUUAGAUUAUUCAUUAAGUUAUGAAAUCUGCAUGGCUACACAAAACAGAAAGCCGCUAUGUGACAAGUGUUUGAUGUGAGCAUGCAAAUGCAGUUUUAAAUUCGUUAAACCUAAUGGAACAAGGUAUCUGGAUGCGGGGGGAGGGGUUCUACUAUUUCCUGAGCUUAUACAGCAGGUUCUUGAAUAAUGUCAUUUAAGUUCAAUAUCAUUUCCUUACAAUGUGGAUGAGAAACAAUGAAUUCCUAGCUGAAGUCAUUGUGUAUAUGGACUUUGCAAGUCCUCCCCAUGUCUGGUUUCCUCCCAAAACCCAAAGCUGCAUUCGGUAGAUGAAUCAGUGUGUCUCACUGGUCCCAGUGUGAGUGAGUGUCAGUGUGUAUGAGUGUGCCCUGCAAUGGGAAAGGUGGCCUGUCUGGGGCUGGUUCCAGCCUGGUACCGCGAGCUACCAGAAUUGUCUCUGGCCACUUGAGCUCCUGAACUUGAAUAAGUGGGUAGAUGAUUAUCUUACUUGUUUUUGUGAACCCUUCUUAAAUGUAUGUGUAACUCUUAUUCAUUUCAAAGUUAUUUUGAUAUUUAUUUCAAUAUUAGAAAUGUUUGGGUCUUUAUUUUAGAAGUUUGGUGAUUUUUUUUGUGACCAGAAAUAUGCUGUAGCAACUUAACUCUUAUUUAGAUCAAUUAGCCUACGGUAAAGCUGUUUUUGUUAUAUGUCCUUUCAUUUGAAGUCCCAGUUUCCAAGAACCUAUCGUCAAAGGUCUUAGUGUACUUCUGGGCACACACUGGGCUAAGCAUCUUACAUUAUCAACUAGAAGAUGAGGUGAAAUAAAAUAUGUUAGUAAAGUGAUCUUGAAAAAGUUAUCUCAUUCUAAUAAAUUAUAAGAUUAUUAAAAUGACUUAGAACAUAUUAAAGCACUGUAAAAAGUAAAUCUUAGUAGAUGCAUUAGGGGUGUGAUUGGCAUUGCUAACAUUAUUAAAAUCUUUCAGUGCUGGGCUAUUUCUACCCUUACAACCCCAUAGGCCUGUAGAGUAUCUUAUAAGAAAACCCACAAUAAAUAUUUGAUAAAUUGCUGAGUAAAAGGUAGGUAUUUUGCACUUAAAGUGCUUGCAAAGUACCUCAUCAACAAGAGAAAAAGGCAAGAGAAUAACCUUGCUUAUGAAUAAAGUAUCGAUCACUUAGGCAUUACAUUUUCCAUUUGUUCUAUUUUUUUUUUCCAGCAGAAACUCUUGGAGAAAUUGCAUAGCAUUAUUUUAAACAAUUCCCCUCAGGGGACCAUUAAAUAGGCUUUUCUGCAGACAGGAUAGAUGUCUUUUACAGCUGGUCGGUGUUUAGUUCUCUAAAUUCUUGACUGAAUAAAGAAAAUGACUGGGAUGUAGGAUAUCUGACCUAUAGAUUGCUCAUUCUCUGCAUGAGUCAAUGUUUGAAGUCUGAAGAUAAAAACCACCAUUAAUCACAAAGCUUUCCUAUAGUCCUAAGGUCAUAUAUCCCAGGGCCCUUCCAAAAUUACCACGUGGACUGGCAUAGGGAGAGAUCUGCUCAGCUGUGGUCGCUUUUAUGACACAGAGCUCCUUCUCUCUGGUUGAUAUUGAAUGAGCAGGAAGGAAGAAAAGAAAUAAAAGUCAGCUAACCAUGGUUGAGUCAAUUCAGUCCAUGCCAUUCAAAGGCUGAAGGGCCACCUGACUCUCCAGAGGCUGCUGGAGAUGCAAGGCUCUUUCAUCCUGGGGUGAGUUUCUGGUUAGAGGAAAUACUGACUUGAAUGAAACAAAGCGUCUGUACCUUGCUUUAUUGGACAAUGAAAGUUCCCAUCAUACUGACCAAAGAUUGAGGAUUUGAGACAUGUGGGGAUGCAUUAAUAUCUCACGUGUGGCUGUGUGUUUCCAAAUGCUAAUUUCUUUUCCUGCAAAACCAGGUAUGUAAGGCUAAGGCGAAAGGAAACUUUUUCUCCUAUGAAAAUCUGGAUCCAAUUCAAUCCCAUUUCGUUUCAAAAACAUUUAUUUACUUUGUGUCCCUUAAGUAAAUAGAAUAUUAUUCUGAAAACACAAAGGAGGUAGGAACUGAAGUGAGUUGGGAAGUUAAAGGAAAGAAACGAAGGGAAGGGGGGAAAAAACAGAGAGAGGGUGGAAGGAAAGAUUGCUGGGUGAUCUUCUGUGCUGUUUAAUAGACACCUUAUUGCUUUCAAUCCUCAAAGCAGUCUUGGGAGAAUGGUGUUGUUUAACCAUUUGCCAGAGGAGGAAACUGAAACUCAGGGAGAUUGCUACUUGCCCAGGGAGGUAAAUAUUGUUCAUUCAGGUUGGCUUUUUGAUGUCUGAAUUCUUUUCUGUAAUUUUGGAAUUGCUCUCAUUUUGAUUAUUUACAGUGGGGAUGGGACAGGAAACCUCUUGUAAUUGGAACAGAAAAUACUAGAUGCUCACUUUCCCCUUUCCCAGACUCCCUUGAAGCUAUGGCAAAGGCUCCGAUAACCACAGGCAUCUGCCCCAGAUUUUUCCUCAGAAGUGUCUGAGAGGGAAUGAGUAGAGAGUAUGCGUGUGCUCUCUGACAGUGGCUCUUUGUCUGUCUGUCUGUCUGUCUGUCUGUCUGUCUGUCUGUCUGUCUCUGCUGUAAAAGCAGAUAAGUCCAAUGAUGCUAGUGGUGGCUGCAGGGUUUUCCUUAUGCAAGUGUUUUGGAUACUUAAUUUUGCAUUAUUCCUAGAAGUUGGAUCUUAUGCUUUUGUUUUCUAGCCCUUCUAAUACUCUAUUAGCUGUUCAGUAUCUUUUUCAAAAAUGCUUUGUUGUAGACUAUUUAGCACAUGCAAAAAUAUGGAGAGUGGCAUAAUAAGCCUCCAUAUAUCAAUUUCCUUCUUAAACAAUUAUCAAUACAUGGACAAUCUUGUAUUAUCAGCAUCUCUAUCAGUUUCCACCCGUAUCUGUACUAUUUCAAAGAAAUCUCAGGCCUCAUAUUAUUUCAUCUGUAAAAUGUUCAUUCUUUAUCUCUAAAAUAUAAAUAUUCUCUUACAAAUGAGCACAAUAUCAUUAUCCUACCUAAUGAUAGUUUAAUAUUAAAUCUCUGUAUUCAGAUGUCUCUAUCUUAUAAUUUUGAUAAGUUUAUAAAUUAUCUUCAAAUCAGGAUCAAAAUAAGUUCCAUACAUUGCAAUUGGUCCGUAUGUUGUUUAAGUUUCUUUUAAUGUGUAGAUUUAGAUUCAAUUUUCCUCUUUUUUUUUUUUUUGAGACGGAGUCUCGCUUUGUCGCCCAGGCUGAAGUGCAGUGGUGCGAUCUCAGCUCACUGCAACCUCUGCCUCCUGGUUUCAAGUGAUUCUCCUGCCUCAGCCUCCUGAGUAGCUGGGAUUACAAGCAUGCAUCACCACUCCAGGCCAAUAUUUGUAUUUUUAGUAGAGAUGGGGUUUCACCAUGUUGGUCAGGCUGGUCUUGAAUUCUUGACCUUGUAAUUCAGCCGCCUCGGCCUCCCAAAGUGCUGGGAUUACAUCAGGAGCCACCACACCCAGCCACUCUUUUGUUUUUUAAACACAUUGUUUUUCUGUAGAAAUUCCCACUGUCAGGAUUUGCUAAUUGGAUCCUUGUGGUGUCAUGUGUCAUGCUUUUCUGUCCCAUGUGUUUUCUGCAAAUUAUUAGUUGGAUCUAGAGACUCAGUCACAUUCAGUUUUGAUACAUUUGGCAAGUCAGCUGCAGAAAUGGUGCUGUGAGCCUCAAUUAGGGCAUAUAAAAUGUCCGGUUGUCUCCCUUUUUGUGAAGUCAGCAGUGAUUGAUGAUUAUUAUUUAAUAUACUGUAUCAUUAGGAGUAGCAAAAAGAUGAUAUAAUUCUAUCAUACUCUUUAUUUAUUUUACUUUUUUAUUAUUAUACUUUAAGUUCUGAGGUACAUAUGCAGAGUUGCAGGUUUGUUACAUAAGUAUACACAUGCCAUGGUGGUUAAAUUUGUAACCUGGAAUCCUUCCACAAAGAGAAAAUUCUGAUACAUUACUUGGUUGACUUGAAGUGUUGGUCAUAUGGAAAAGUCAGAAUAAAUGCUUAAUCUUUUUUAUUUGCUAGUUUUCAAAAUAGUUAAAUAACUCGCUGGUCAAACAUGUCCAAUUGUUUGUAUUUCUAUAGUCGUUAUUAACUAUAU
rnacentral:lncRNA from 1 species